UUAAUGGAGGACUAGUGGUUAGGCCUCGGCGCUUUCACCACCAUGGCCUGGGUUCAAUUCCCGGCCAGGAAA